rnacentral:rRNA from 1 species
CGUUUUUUGUAUUUAAUAAAAAAUAUAGCCUGCCCACUGAAUUAAAUUGAAUGGCCGCGGUAUUUUGACCGUGCGAAGGUAGCAUAAUCAUUAGUCUAUUAAUUGUAGACUGGUAUGAAUGGCUGGAUGGGUAAUAGCUGUUUCUAGAUUAAAAUAUGAAUUUUAGAUUUUUGUGAAGACGCUAAGAUAAAACUAAAAGACGAGAAGACCCUAUUAAGCUUUACAUGAGUGUUUAAUUUUUUUAAAUCAUUAAUGUUAUGUUGGGGCGACAGGAAAAUAGAGAAGCUUUUCUUUGUUAUUUUAUGCAUAUAGGUAGACAAGAUCUAGAUGAUCCAUAAUUUGUGAUUAUAAGAACAAGUUACUAUAGGGAUAACAGCGUAAUUUUAUUGGAGAGUUCUUAUUGAUAAUAAAGAUUGCGACCUCGAUGUUGAAUUAGGAUACCUUUUGGGUGCAGAAGUUUUAGAAGGUAGUCUGUUCGACUAUUAAAUUCCUACA